rnacentral:rRNA from 1 species
GUGGGUAACCUGCCUUAUAGUGGGGGAUAGCCUUUCGAAAGGAAGAUUAAUACCGCAUAAGAUUGUAGUAUCGCAUGAUAUAGCAAUUAAAGGAGCAAUCCGCUAUAAGAUGGACCCGCGUCGCAUUAGCUAGUUGGUGAGGUGAUGGCUCACCAAGGCGACGAUGCGUAGCCGACCUGAGAGGGUGAUCGGCCACAUUGGGACUGAGACACGGCCCAGACUCCUACGGGAGGCAGCAUG